rnacentral:lncRNA from 1 species
GGGAUGAGAGAGGGAAUACAGAGUUUGGGAAAGCACUGAAGAUAACAACCUGGGAGACUGGAACGUGGUGGUGCCUUCAGAAGAGGGGCAGGGUGACUGUGCGGGUGGUGUCUUGUAACCGUGAAGUCCGGUCACCAUGGAAGCCGUUUCCACAAUGCUGCGGCCGCAGGACCCAGCCUGUUCAUUCUGGGAGCUGACCUGCGCUCAUGGAAAACAGAACCUGAGUCCCUGCAGGCAUCCCUCCCCUUCCCCCUUCGUUCUGGGACCUUCCCCCAGGAGGUCUGAGGGGCCAAGCCUUGGGACACUGGUCUUGGGAAGCGGUUUUCCCAGGCCUUCGGGUCCCAUGACCCCAUCACAUGCAUGCAGAGAAGCGGAAAAGGUCUGGACUGGGAGCCAGGAGAUUUAAGCUAGGCCCUGGUGGUAGUGGAUGUCUCUGCCAUCUGCAUAUUGCUCAGCCCAGUGGUUCUUAGACUUUGGGGGGUCCUGAGCCCCUCAGACAGCUUUUGUUUACGUGGGUUCUGUCAAUCGAUAGUGACCAUAUUAGAAAUUAA